CUGCCCCUCUCCCCCACUCUCUCUCUCUCUCUCAAAUAAAUUUUUCAAAAAGUUCUGCAGUCCAGCCCCAGUGCAGGUGCCCCCUCCCCCGCAGCAGAGAGCAACUCACCCAGCAUCUGCUGAUGUGCCCAAGAGGAGCCCCCUCCACUGAAGGUGGCAGCCACAGCUGACAAGGGAGCCCUUGAGAAAAAGUAGCACCCACAGCAGCUGACUCGGGGUUUCGGGCAGUGGGAGUGCGGCUGCCCUGUUGCCCAAGGCUUGUGCUCUUGUGGGGGGCAACUCCGAAGGUGAGCUCAAGAAACGGCAUCACACCGAGGUCUGUGCCCAAGCGGGAAGAUGGGGCUGGGUCCACACCGCCAUGAAAGGGCAGGCUGGACCGUUCCUGGCAGGCGCGUGCAUGUUGACCGAGCGUGAAUGAGUGGAUGUACCGACCAGCUGGGUCUUCAGGGUGGAGGAGACCGGUCCUGGAAGUCCAGGGGCCUCUCCGUGGAGGGGUUGCGGGCCUCGUGGGGGGGAGGGCCCUGGAUGCCCUGGGCAGCUCCAUCUGACUCUCCGCCCUACAAACAGGGCCCCAGAGGUCACGUCCAGCAGAGGACUUCAGAAAGGCCCCCUGUGGCUGGGCCAGCUGGGGACCCACAGCCUGCCAACCCAAAAAGGGGGCCUGCAGACCUGCCUGAGGCAGAGCUGGAGCCUGUCCUAUGUGCAGGUGGCCUUCAUCCCAGCAGCAGGAAGCAGACCAUCCACCCAGGAGGCGAGGAGGGUGCCGUUACUCCAAACCCUUAUCAACCCACUUUUCCUCAAAUGAGCUGGUUCCAAAGAAGGGGAAGACGGGUAUUCUUCAAAUUCUCACUCCUGCCUGCUGAGAUUUCACGGCCCCUAUGUGGAGAGAGGGAGACGAACUUGGAUACCCUUGCACACCCCCUCCCUUCAUCUUUUCAGCAGCUCGGCAAGAAGCUGGCUCAGCUGUGCAAGCACUCACGUGCUCACGCUCCCUGGGAAGAGGGGCUGACCAGCCGCUGACAAGGACACACCUAGUGUUCCACAGGCACCCUCGGGUGCCCUGUUUCCAGUUUCCAGGUCUCGAGCGACUGGCCUGGCUCUACGGCAGGGAGUUUGCAGGCACGAGAGCCGGGGUUCUUCUGCUUCUCUGCUCGUGGGCUUUCCGGCAGUUGUUUCACCAGUGGCCACGUGGCACUAGUGAGGUGGGUGUCCGUGCUCCUGAGUGACCAAGCUAGUGCUCACCGCUGAGAUUCUGGGCCAGCAGGUCAGGGGAGGACUCUGGGAUCUAACGGUCACCCUGGCCAGUUCUGGUACCAGUGGUCAGGAGGUGGCAAGAGGGCCCAGGAGAGGCUGGUAGAGGCACUGGGGAAGCGAGGAUGUGCCACCAUGGGCGGGGGGGGGGGGGGGGGGACGGGUGUGCAUGCAGAAGUCACGGAUGGGGGGGUGCAGCUCCAGGACCCGGUGGUUGACAUCAGCUGGAAAAGGAAGGGACAGGGCGGCUCAAACAAGAGGACGCUGAGUUGCCACAUUCCCACCAGGACUACAGACCCAGAGGAGGAGGCCUUCCCCAGUUGAGACAUUGUGAGCAGAUACAAAGCGCCUGGAAGCAUUUGUGUCUCGCGUGGUUUGGGGGGACCAGGCUGAGCAAAGUUGCAGGAACUCACAUGACCAGGGGGAGGGCCCCAGCCAAGGCUACCUGUGGUUUCCACAGUGGCGUAGGCUGUUUGAGCGUCUACACUUCCUGCUCCUUGAUGACUGGAAGGGUUGGCCCAGGGGCCAGGUGGGAGUGGGGCAGGACUGCCACGUGGAGCCUCGCUAGGGCCCAGCCACAGGCCUGCCCGGAGCUUGUGAGGACAGAGGGC